rnacentral:tRNA from 1 species
GCGCCAUUGGUGUAGUAGCAGCACGUCAUCCUUCCAAGUUGAGAGUGCCGGGGCAGUACCGGCAUGGCGCUCCA